AGAAAAUAAAAACAACCCAGCUGUAAGAGCUGUCGUUUUCCAGAAAGAAAAAACUCUUGGAAAUAUCUCCUUUGAAAACCAGCCUCUGGAGAAGAUCAAACGUCGAGUGUAAAAAGGUUCUCCUCUCAUAAUUCUAUAGUCUAUCUGGCCUCCGUCAUCACCAUCUUCCGCCUCUGUAAUCUCCGAACCAUCAUUUCUCUGACCAGGAGUCUGAAGCUGUUGGGAUUACAGAAAUCUAUCCAAACUCUAUAGUGUAUAUAUAAGAAUUUGUGUUUGGAUCACUUGCGAGUUUAGGAUCACAAAAAAAAGGUGGAUUUAGUUGGAGACGAACAUUUCAAUGCUUUAAUUAGUACAAUCUUGUCUUUAAUUUGCCUUCAACUUCACCGUAAUGAAAGAUUAAGAUUUAAGAGUUGAGAUUUGCGAAUAAAUAAAUAAAACGACAACGAGUAAACUUUUAUUUAA